rnacentral:rRNA from 1 species
AUGCAAUCUUAUGAUGAAAAACUUAAUUUGGAAGUUUCUAUACCUAGAAAACUUAAUGAUGAGUGGGAACCUACUAUAAAGAUUAGAAUUAAGGAUUAUGAGUGUUUUGCUUUGUGUGAAUUAGGUGCUAGUGUUUCCACGAUUCCGAAAACUUUAUGUGAUAUUCUAGGUUUCCAUGAUCUCGAUGAUUGCUCUUUAAAUUUGCACCUUGCGGAUUCCACCAUUAAAAAGCCUAUGGGAAGGAUCAAUGAUGUUCUUAUUGUUGCAAAUAGAAAUUUGGUGCCCGUAGACUUUAUCGUUCUUGAUAUAGAUUGCAAUCUUUCUUGCCCUAUUAUUCUUGGUAGACCUUUCCUUAGAACGAUUGGUGCGAUUAUUGAUAUGAAGGAAGGGAACAUUAGAUUCAAAUUUCCACUAAAGAAAGGCAUGGAGCACUUUCCAAGAAAUAAAGUCAAAUUACCUUAUGAAUCUAUCAUGCGUGCAACUUAUGAAUUUAGUGCCAAAGAUGGCACUCGUUAG